rnacentral:rRNA from 1 species
AUUGAACGCUGGCGGCAGGCCUAACACAUGCAAGUCGAACGGUAACAGGAAGCAGCUUGCUGCUUCGCUGACGAGUGGCGGACGGGUGAGUAAUGUCUGGGAAGCUGCCUGAUGGAGGGGGAUAACUACUGGAAACGGUAGCUAAUACCGCAUAAUGUCGCAAGACCAAAGAGGGGGACCUUCGGGCCUCUUGCCAUCGGAUGUGCCCAGAUGGGAUUAGCUUGUUGGUGGGGUAACGGCUCACCAAGGCGACGAUCCCUAGCUGGUCUGAGAGGAUGACCAGCCACACUGUGACUGAGACACGGUCCAGACUCCUACGGGAGGCAGCAGUGGGGAAUAUUGCACAUUGGGCGCAAGCCUGAUGCAGCCAUGCCGCGUGUAUGAAGAAGGCCUUCGGGUUGUAAAGUACUUUCAGCGGGGAGGAAGGGAGUAAAGUUAAUACCUUUGCUCAUUGACGUUACCCGCAGAAGAAGCACCGGCUAACUCCGUG